UUGCCCUCCACUCACCGCCAGAUCGUUGUUUUUACAACCUGAAACAUCCCACUCGCCAUCUGCCCAUUUGUCUGUCUACUCUUUCAACUCAAUGAUGAGUGAUUUGCAGUUGAUGGAAUUGGAGGAUGAGCUCAAGAGUGUAGAUACAUUUCUUGAACAUCUCAAGACAGAAGAGACAGAGAAGAACAGACAGAAAACUAAGACCACAUCACCAAAGCCUGUUCAUUGGAAGAAGAGGGACCACAAUGGGGACAUUGUUCACCAGCGCCCACGAGCCCUUAGAAAGCAGUCAACAUCACAAAGACCAGACGAAGGAAGACAUGUUUCUUCUUCACCGCCAUUAGACCAUGGCCAACACCUAGACCAUGAUUUGAAUAUGCGGCAGCUUGAGGACCUUCUACAGGACUCAGAGAACAUGGAAUCACAAGAUUUUGUUCAGCAGCCACCAUUGUCCAGUUGGAUUCAAAGGCAGAAAGA